GCUUGUUGCAAUCUAGGAUUUUGCUGCUCUGCUAUCAUUGUUUUGUUUUGCAUCCUGUUACAGGUCUGAACUCUCCUGUUAAGAAUUUUAAUGCUUUGCCUACCAGCACAGUUGAAGGGCAUAUAGUUUAGAGUCUUCUUGCAGGUGUUGUGACACAUAUAUAGUGUACUUGGGACAGACUCUCCUAUGGCUACCCUCAAGGGGAAAAAACUGCAAAGAAAAAAUGAAGAUAGUGGUAGCAAAAACAAGCUGAAACUGAAAGAACAUAAAAGACAUACUGCUUCAUGACCUUGCAGAAACUUUAAAUGAAGAAAACAAAUCAGGCUGGAGACUCCUCAAAACAAAAAAGUUCUUACCAGAUUUUCACUCAUGCUUGUAAUAAAUAUACGACAGUGUAACAGCUGAACUUAGCCUCUGGUAUUUUAAUAACUUUUGAUGCUUUUUGACCUUGAGGGAAAGGCAUGGGAACUUGAAUACCAAUGGGAUCAGUGUGCCUGUUUGAAGUUAUGUUGUGGAUGCUGCCAAUACCCUUGCUUAAAGAGGCAUUUUUCCAUAAGUGACUGAGAAAGAGAAUGAGCUUGCAUUGAGCUCUCACUAAUGGACUGCAAAACUUUAAUCUUGAGGAGGAAAUUCCUUCAAU